rnacentral:rRNA from 1 species
AUUGAACGCUGGCGGAAUGCUUUACACAUGCAAGUCGAACGGCAGCACGGGGGCAACCCUGGUGGCGAGUGGCGAACGGGUGAGUAAUACAUCGGAACGUGCCCAGUCGUGGGGGAUAACUACGCGAAAGCGUAGCUAAUACCGCAUACGAUCUACGGAUGAAAGCGGGGGACCGCAAGACCUCGCGCGAUUGGAGCGGCCGAUGGCAGAUUAGGUAGUUGGUGGGGUAAAGGCUCACCAAGCCGACGAUCUGUAGCUGGUCUGAGAGGACGACCAGCCACACUGGGACUGAGACACGGCCCAGACUCCUACGGGAGGCAGCAGUGGGGAAUUUUGGACAAUGGGCGAAAGCCUGAUCCAGCCAUUCCGCGUGCAGGAUGAAGGCCCUCGGGUUGUAAACUGCUUUUGGACGGAACGAAAAGACCUUCUUCUAUACAGGAGGGUCAUGACGG